AUUCCAGCUCCAAUACGUAUAUUAAAGUUGUUGCAGUUAAAAAGUUCGUAGUUGAACCUUGGCUCUGGCUGGCCGUCCGCCUCACCGCGAGUACUGGUCCGGGCUGGAGCUUUUCCUUCUGGGGAACCUCAUGCCUUCACUGGCUGUGGGGGGAACCAGGACUUUUACUGUGAAAAAAUUAGAGUGUUCAAACAGGCCUUUGCUCGAAUACAUUAGCAUGGAAUAAUAGAAUAGGACGUGCGGUUCUAUUUGUUGGUUUCUAGGACCGCCGUAAUGAUUAAUAGGGAUAGUCGGGGGCGUCAGUAUUCAGUGUCAGAGGUGAAAUUCUUGGAUUUGCUGAAGACUAACUACUGCGAAAGCAUUCGCCAAGAUGUUUUCAUUAAUCAGGGAACGAAAGUUAGGGGAUCGAAGACGAUCAGAUACCGUCGAGUCUUAACCAUAAACUAUGCCGACUAGGGAUCGGACGGGAUUCUAUUAUGACCCGUUCGCACCUUACGAGAAAUCAAAGUUUUUGGGUUCUGGGGGGAGUAUGGUCGCAAGGCUGAACUUAAAGAAAUUGACGGAAGGGCACCACAAGGCGUGGAGCCUGCGGCUUAAUUUGACUCACACGGGGAAACUCACCAGGUCCAGACAAAAUAAGGAUUGACAGAUUGAGAGCUCUUUCUGAUCUUUUGGAUGGUGGUGCAUGGCCCGUUCUUAGUUGGUGGAGUGAUUUGUCUGCUUAUUGCGAUAACGAACGAGACCUCGGCCCUUAAAUAGCCCGGUCCGCAUUUGCGGGCCCGGGCUUCUUAGGGGGACUAUCGGCUCAAGCCGAGGAA
rnacentral:rRNA from 1 species